GACGAACGCUGGCGGCGUGCUUAACACAUGCAAGUCGAACGAUGAACCCGGAGCUUGCUCCGGUGGAUUAGUGGCGAACGGGUGAGUAACACGUGAGUAACCUGCCCUUGACUCUGGGAUAACUGCGGGAAACUGUAGCUAAUACCGGAUACGACCCUCGGCGGCAUCGCCAGGGGGUGGAAAGAAUUUCGGUCAAGGAUGGACUCGCGGCCUAUCAGCUAGUUGGUGAGGUAACGGCGCACCAAGGCGACGACGGGUAGCCGGCCUGAGAGGGUGACCGGCCACACUGGGACUGAGAAACGGCCCAGACUGCUACGGGAGGCAGCAGUGGGGAAUAUUGCACAAUGGGCGCAAGCCUGAUGCAGCAACGCCGCGUGAGGGGUGACGGCCUUCGGGUUGUAAACCUCUUUUAGUAGGGAAGAAGCGAAAGUGACGGUACCUGCAGAAAAAGCACCGGCUAACUACGUGCCAGCCGCCGCCGUAA
rnacentral:rRNA from 1 species